UACAGAGGGUGCGAGCGUUGUCCGGAAUCACUGGGCGUAAAGAGCUCGUAGGCGGCUUGUCGCGUCGACUGUGAAAACCCGCAGCUCAACUGCGGGCCUGCAGUCGAUACGGGCAGGCUAGAGUUCGGUAGGGGAGACUGGAAUUCCUGGUGUAGCGGUGAAAUGCGCAGAUAUCAGGAGGAACACCGAUGGCGAAGGCAGGUCUCUGGGCCACUACUGACGCUGAGAAGCGAAAGCAUGGGGAGCGAACAGG
rnacentral:rRNA from 1 species